rnacentral:rRNA from 1 species
UGACGAGUUUGAUCCUGGCUCAGAUUGAACGCUGGCGGAAUGCUUUACACAUGCAAGUCGAACGGUAGAGGGGGCAACCCCUUGAGAGUGGCGAACGGGUGAGUAAUAUAUCGGAACGUGCCCACGUCGUGGGGAGUAACGUAGCGAAAGUUAACGCUAAUACCGCAUACGAUCUAAGGAUGAAAGCGGGGAGUCGCAAGACCUCGCGCGAUUGGAGCGGCCGAUAUCAGAUUAGGUAGUUGGUGAGGUAAAGGCUCACCAAGCCAACGAUCUGUAGCUGGUCUGAGA